rnacentral:rRNA from 1 species
UACAGAGGUCCCGAGCGUUGUUCGGAUUCAUUGGGCGUAAAGGGUGCGUAGGCGGUCUUCUAAGUUUGAUGUGAAAUCCCGGGGCUCAACCCUGGAAUUGCAUUGAAUACUGGAGGACUCGAGUCCCGGAGAGGGAAACUGGAAUUUACGGUGUAGCAGUGAAAUGCGUAGAGAUCGUAAGGAAGACCAGUGGCGAAGGCGGGUCUCUGGACAGUUCCUGACACUGAGACACGAAGGCCAGGGGAGCAAACGGG